rnacentral:rRNA from 1 species
UCAGAAUGAACGCUGGCGGCAGGCCUAACACAUGCAAGUCGAACGGAAACGACAAGAACAAACUCUUCGGAGGGCGAUCUUGGGCGUCGAGUGGCGGACGGGUGAGUAACGCGUGGGAAUCUACCCUUUAGUUGGGGACAACAUAUGGAAACGUAUGCUAAUACCGAAUAUGCUCUACGGAGUAAAGGUGGCCUCUACUUGUAAGCUAUCGCUAAAGGAUGAGCCCGCGUUAGAUUAGCUAGUUGGUGGGGUAAAGGCCUACCAAGGCGACGAUCUAUAGCUGGUUUGAGAGGAUGAUCAGCCACACUGGGACUGAGACACGGCCCANACUCCUACGGGAGGCAGCAGUGGGGAAUAUUGCACAAUGAGGGAAACCUUGAUGCANCCAUGCCGCGUGUGUGAAGAAGGCCCGAGGGUUGUAAAGCACUUUCAAUUGUGAGGAAAGGUUAGUCGCUAAUAUCGGCUAGCUGUGACGUUAACUUUAGAAGAAGCACCGGCUAACUCUGUG